UACGGAGGGUGCAAACGUUGCUCGGAAUCAUUGGGCGUAAAGCGCACGUAGGCGGCUUAGCAAGUCGGAUGUGAAAUCCCUCGGCUCAACCAAGGAAGUGCAUCCGAAACUGCUGAGCUUGAGUACGAAAGAGGAUCGCGGAAUUCCCGGUGUAGAGGUGAAAUUCGUAGAUAUCGGGAGGAACACCAGUGGCGAAGGCGGCGAUCUGGGUCGAUACUGACGCUGAGGUGCGAAAGCGUGGGGAGCAAACAGG
rnacentral:rRNA from 1 species